CCCUUAGAUGUUCUGGGCCGCACGCGCGCUACACUGAAGGGAUCAGCGUGUUUUCCCUUCCCGAGAGGGACGGGUAACCCGCUGAACCCCCUUCGUGGUAGGGAUCGGAGCUUGCAAUUGUUCUCCGUGAACCAGGAAUUCCCAGUAAGCGCAAGUCAUAAGCUUGUGUUGAUUACGUCCCUGCCCUUUGUACACACCGCCCGUCGCUACUACCGAUUGAACGUUUUAGUGAGGUAUUUGGACUGGGCCUUGGGAGGUUUCGGCCUCCCUUGUUGCUCGGAAAGACUCCCAAACUUGAGCGUUUAGAGGAAGUAAAAGUCGUAACA
rnacentral:rRNA from 1 species